GGAAUCCACACUGUAAUUCCAUCUGCUUAAUAGUUGUAUCCUGCCCUUUCCAAAUAUAGUUUGUUUCCCACCAAACGCUGUGGUUCUGUUAGAAAACACGCUUUUUUUGUAUCGAUAAAAAGUACUUUUUUUCUCGGAUUCGAGCAUUAAAACCACAUGUUUAAAGUGUCUCUGAGACGGAGACUAAUUACUGAUGACAGUAGAGGUUGGGUCACUCAUUCCUCAUGCUGAACUGGGCACGGCUAUGACUUUGUUGGACCCAAACAACAGUACAGUUCACAGAUUGAAAUGGCAGUGAUGGCACAAGAUGUCCCUGGAGGCAGAUAAAAACAGUUUUGUGGUUUCCAAGGAGAGAAGUACAUCCUGUGGCUUUCAGGGUGCUGAAGAGAAAGAGGAGAUCCCAGGGAUGGGAGAGGACAGUGUUCUGGAAAUGCUGAGCUACUCCAAAUUUACAGACCUGGAGACAUGGCUGUGUAUGCCUUCUACACUGCUGCCGAGAAGUUUGGAAUCAUUAUGUGCCACCUCUCAGUCCCUGACACCUAGUGAAACUGCAGACGCUGAGAAGAAACCCAGCCAAGAUCUCCAAGAACUUUUCACUUUGUUUAAAAAGUUAUCAUGGAGCAUGGAAGUGUCAUUUGACUAUAGUGAGAAGGAGGAAUUUACAUGCUGAAUUUUCAUGACUGCUUCUUUGUACAAAACUUCAAACAAGUCUGAAGAACAGAUUGCCAUCCAUUGUGGCAUUUUUUCUAAACAGCCUGUGUUCACCAUUCAUCUCUACUUUACUGUGGUAAAUUCACCCAUCUAUUUUUUCACUCGGUGAAAUCACUUGUUUUGACCAUAUCAGUUCUGCACUGGGAUUUAAUGACUACUUUCUUGCAGAACAGCACAUAAUAGAAAAAGUCCUCAAACACUGAUCAACAGUGCUUUCUCUAGUAUUUUUACAACAACAUGGCAUUUGCAAUAAGGAAUGUCAAACUGCUGAGUAGGCAGAUGACAGCAUCUCAGUUAGACAUUAAAGAAAUGUCAGAUUGUUUGGCUUGACCACACAACAGACACUUAGUGAAUUUAAAAGAAAGUGAUUCCAACAUGACAUGCUGAAAAACAGAUCAUCCAUUAUUUAUUCAGUUAGAUUUUUUCACUAGACUAAUUACUUAGUAAAGUGGCAGGAAAUACAGUGGAAGUUUUUAUUUAUAUUGUGUAACUGGAUUCUUCAAGAUAUAUAAAAUUUGUUUUUAUUCAGGUGGCGCAGAGAGUAGCACUGUUUCACAGUGUUUGGGAGGGGAGAAUAUGGUUUUGAUAAAUGGUAAUUUAUCAGAAAAAGAGGUCAUAUCAGUGAUGGUUGUUGCUAAAUAGCACAAAUAACUGCUAAACGUACUGCUUAAGGCAGCACAGUGGUGCAGCGGCUAAAACGGCUGCCUCACAGUGCCUCUACUUUUUGAGCGUAGGUUUGAAUCCAGCUCAGUCUGUGGAGUUUGGGUGUCUACGAUUUCUCCGUGUCUGUGUGGAUUUCCUGUCUGUGCUCUGGUUUCCUCCCACACUCUAAUGACUUGCGGUUUAGGUUGACUAGCAAGUAUAAAUUGCCUGUAGUGUGUGUGUCUGUGGCUCCCCUUUGACGGUGUCCCGUCCAGGGAGUACAGCUUCAGGCUUGGACCUAGUGAUUCCAAGAUAUGCUCCACAUUUCUACAACUCUGAGCAGUACAAGUGGUUAAUGUGAGUCAGUGAGUAUACUGCUUGAGUUAAGGAUUUUAUGAAAUGCCACAUAAUAACAUUUUGACCUAAGUAAAUAAUUCAGACAAAAUAUCAGUGGGCUUACUCUUGUACUUUCUAGAAAAUCACAUCUUUCUCUUUAAAGAGGGUUUCUAAAUUCUUGUUUCUUAAUAUUCUGUGACUUUGUGAUCAACCAGUAAAAGUUCAAUUGGCAAUUGAAAUGAGUGUAGGCAUGUUACAUGAAGCACCGAUUUUCAGAAAACAUCAUCAAAUGUUUGCAAACAUAUGUUUGAAAUGUUUGAAUUGUAGUUGAUUGUUAUUGAUAGUAACGAAUAACAUUUGUGGCUGGUACACUUCCCUGCUGAGAAUUAUUCUCUGUUGUUGCACUAAAAUAAUUAAAAAAAAAAUAAAUAAAUAAAAUAAAUAUAUAUAUAAAUUAAA
ensembl:lncRNA